CAAACUGGGAUUAGAUACCCCACUAUGCUUAGCCCUAAACACAGAUAAUUACAUAAACAAAAUUAUUUGCCAGAGUACUACCAGCAACAGCUUAAAACUCAAAGGACUUGGCGGUGCUUUAUAUCCCUCUAGAGGAGCCUGUUCUGUAAUCGAUAAACCCCGAUAAACCUCACCAGUUCUUGCUAAUACAGUCUAUAUACCGCCAUCUUCAGCAAACCCUAAAAAGGAAAAAAAGUAAGCACAAUCAUGAUACAUAAAAACGUUAGGUCAAGGUGUAACCUAUGAAAUGGAAAGAAAUGGGCUACAUUCUCUACACUAAGAGAACCAAUGCACGAAAGUUAUUAUGAAAUUAGUAACCAAAGGAGGAUUUAGCAGUAAACUAAGAGUAGAGUGCUUAGUUGAAUUAGGCCAUGAAGCACGCACACACCGCCCGUCACCCUC
rnacentral:rRNA from 1 species